CGUAGGUGAACCUGCGGAAGGAUCAUUGUCGAAACCUGCCCGGCAGAACGACCCGAGAACCUGUUUCGGAACUGGGGGCGAGGGGUCUCGCGGCUCCUCCUCCCUUCGUCCCGGGAGGGUCGCGUCGCGUCCGCGCGGCCGGCCCUUCCGGGCGUACAAACGAACACCGGCGCGAAUUGCGCCAAGGAACUUGAACGAGAGAGCGCGCCCCUGCGGCCCCGGAAACGGCGCGCGCGGGCGGCGUCGCCGUCUUCGAACACGUCAAAACGACUCUCGGCAACGGAUAUCUCGGCUCUCGCAUCGAUGAAGAACGUAGCGAAAUGCGAUACUUGGUGUGAAUUGCAGAAUCCCGUGACCAUCGAGUCUUUGAACGCAAGUUGCGCCCGAAGCCGUUAGGCCGAGGGCACGCCUGCCUGGGCGUCACGCGCCGUUGCCCCCCCGACCGAUCCCUCGGGAUCGCGGGGGGCGGAUGGUGGCCUCCCGUGCGCUCCGCCGCGCGGUUGGCAUAAAUACCAAGUCCCCGGCGACGCGCGCCACGACGAUCGGUGGUUGCGAAACCUCGGUUGCCCGUCGUGUGCGGCCGUCGCUCGUCGAGGGCUAGAAGUAAAGAUGCUCGGCUCCGGCUCGGCUCUCAACGCGACCCCAGGUCAGGCGGGGUUACCCGCUGAAUUUAAGCAUAUCAAUA
rnacentral:rRNA from 1 species